GCCGCAGCAUGCGCGCAUACCUGAUGCAGCCAUGCCGCGUGUAUGAAGAAGGCCUUCGGGUUGUAAAGUACUUUCAGCGGGGAGGAAGGCGGUGAGGUUAAUAACCUUACCGAUUGACGUUACCCGCAGAAGAAGCACCGGCUAACUCCGUGCCAGCAGCCGCGGUAAUAG
rnacentral:rRNA from 1 species